rnacentral:rRNA from 1 species
GGGUUGUGAGGUUAAGCGACUAAGCGUACACGGUGGAUGCCCUGGCAGUCAGAGGCGAUGAAGGACGUGCUAAUCUGCGAUAAGCGUCGGUAAGGUGAUAUGAACCGUUAUAACCGGCGAUUUCCGAAUGGGGAAACCCAGUGUGUUUCGACACACUAUCAUUAACUGAAUCCAUAGGUUAAUGAGGCGAACCGGGGGAACUGAAACAUCUAAGUACCCCGAGGAAAAGAAAUCAACCGAGAUUCCCCCAGUAGCGGCGAGCGAACGGGGAGCAGCCCAGAGCCUGAAUCAGUAUGUGUGUUAGUGGAAGCGUCUGGAAAGGCGCGCGAUACAGGGUGACAGCCCCGUACACAAAAAUGCACAUGCUGUGAGCUCGAUGAGUAGGGCGGGACACGUGGUAUCCUGUCUGAAUAUGGGGGGACCAUCCUCCAAGGCUAAAUACUCCUGACUGACCGAUAGUGAACCAGUACCGUGAGGGAAAGGCGAAAAGAACCCCGGCGAGGGGAGUGAAAAAGAACCUGAAACCGUGUACGUACAAGCAGUGGGAGCACAGAGCAAUCUGUGUGACUGCGUACCUUUUGUAUAAUGGGUCAGCGACUUAUAUUCUGUAGCAAGGUUAACCGAAUAGGGGAGCCGAAGGGAAACCGAGUCUUAACUGGGCGUUAAGUUGCAGGGUAUAGACCCGAAACCCGGUGAUCUAGCCAUGGGCAGGUUGAAGGUUGGGUAACACUAACUGGAGGACCGAACCGACUAAUGUUGAAAAAUUAGCGGAUGACUUGUGGCUGGGGGUGAAAGGCCAAUCAAACCGGGAGAUAGCUGGUUCUCCCCGAAAGCUAUUUAGGUAGCGCCUCGUGAAUUCAUCUCCGGGGGUAGAGCACUGUUUCGGCAAGGGGGUCAUCCCGACUUACCAACCCGAUGCAAACUGCGAAUACCGGAGAAUGUUAUCACGGGAGACACACGGCGGGUGCUAACGUCCGUCGUGAAGAGGGAAACAACCCAGACCGCCAGCUAAGGUCCCAAAGUCAUGGUUAAGUGGGAAACGAUGUGGGAAGGCCCAGACAGCCAGGAUGUUGGCUUAGAAGCAGCCAUCAUUUAAAGAAAGCGUAAUAGCUCACUGGUCGAGUCGGCCUGCGCGGAAGAUGUAACGGGGCUAAACCAUGCACCGAAGCUGCGGCAGCGACGCUUAUGCGUUGUUGGGUAGGGGAGCGUUCUGUAAGCCUGCGAAGGUGUGCUGUGAGGCAUGCUGGAGGUAUCAGAAGUGCGAAUGCUGACAUAAGUAACGAUAAAGCGGGUGAAAAGCCCGCUCGCCGGAAGACCAAGGGUUCCUGUCCAACGUUAAUCGGGGCAGGGUGAGUCGACCCCUAAGGCGAGGCCGAAAGGCGUAGUCGAUGGGAAACAGGUUAAUAUUCCUGUACUUGGUGUUACUGCGAAGGGGGGACGGAGAAGGCUAUGUUGGCCGGGCGACGGUUGUCCCGGUUUAAGCGUGUAGGCUGGUUUUCCAGGCAAAUCCGGAAAAUCAAGGCUGAGGCGUGAUGACGAGGCACUACGGUGCUGAAGCAACAAAUGCCCUGCUUCCAGGAAAAGCCUCUAAGCAUCAGGUAACAUCAAAUCGUACCCCAAACCGACACAGGUGGUCAGGUAGAGAAUACCAAGGCGCUUGAGAGAACUCGGGUGAAGGAACUAGGCAAAAUGGUGCCGUAACUUCGGGAGAAGGCACGCUGAUAUGUAGGUGAAGCGACUUGCUCGUGGAGCUGAAAUCAGUCGAAGAUACCAGCUGGCUGCAACUGUUUAUUAAAAACACAGCACUGUGCAAACACGAAAGUGGACGUAUACGGUGUGACGCCUGCCCGGUGCCGGAAGGUUAAUUGAUGGGGUUAGCGCAAGCGAAGCUCUUGAUCGAAGCCCCGGUAAACGGCGGCCGUAACUAUAACGGUCCUAAGGUAGCGAAAUUCCUUGUCGGGUAAGUUCCGACCUGCACGAAUGGCGUAAUGAUGGCCAGGCUGUCUCCACCCGAGACUCAGUGAAAUUGAACUCGCUGUGAAGAUGCAGUGUACCCGCGGCAAGACGGAAAGACCCCGUGAACCUUUACUAUAGCUUGACACUGAACAUUGAGCCUUGAUGUGUAGGAUAGGUGGGAGGCUUUGAAGUGUGGACGCCAGUCUGCAUGGAGCCGACCUUGAAAUACCACCCUUUAAUGUUUGAUGUUCUAACGUUGACCCGUGAUCCGGGUUGCGGACAGUGUCUGGUGGGUAGUUUGACUGGGGCGGUCUCCUCCUAAAGAGUAACGGAGGAGCACGAAGGUUGGCUAAUCCUGGUCGGACAUCAGGAGGUUAGUGCAAUGGCAUAAGCCAGCUUGACUGCGAGCGUGACGGCGCGAGCAGGUGCGAAAGCAGGUCAUAGUGAUCCGGUGGUUCUGAAUGGAAGGGCCAUCGCUCAACGGAUAAAAGGUACUCCGGGGAUAACAGGCUGAUACCGCCCAAGAGUUCAUAUCGACGGCGGUGUUUGGCACCUCGAUGUCGGCUCAUCACAUCCUGGGGCUGAAGUAGGUCCCAAGGGUAUGGCUGUUCGCCAUUUAAAGUGGUACGCGAGCUGGGUUUAGAACGUCGUGAGACAGUUCGGUCCCUAUCUGCCGUGGGCGCUGGAGAAUUGAGGGGGGCUGCUCCUAGUACGAGAGGACCGGAGUGGACGCAUCACUGGUGUUCGGGUUGUCAUGCCAAUGGCACUGCCCGGUAGCUAAAUGCGGAAGAGAUAAGUGCUGAAAGCAUCUAAGCACGAAACUUGCCCCGAGAUGAGUUCUCCCUGACUCCUUGAGAGUCCUGAAGGAACGUUGAAGACGACGACGUUGAUAGGCCGGGUGUGUAAGCGCAGCGAUGCGUUGAGCUAACCGGUACUAAUGAACCGUGAGGCUUAACCUUACAACGCCGAAG